rnacentral:rRNA from 1 species
AUUGAACGCUGGCGGCAUGCUUUACACAUGCAAGUCGGACGGCAGCGGGGUAGUGCUUGCACUACUGCCGGCGAGUGGCGAACGGGUGAGUAAUAUAUUGGAACGUACCGAGUAAUGGGGGAUAACCAAUCGAAAGAUUGGCUAAUACCGCAUACGCUCUGAGGAGGAAAGCAGGGGACCUUCGGGCCUUGCGUUAUUCGAGCGGCCAAUAUCUGAUUAGCUAGUUGGUGGGGUAAAGGCCUACCAAGGCGACGAUCAGUAGCGGGUCUGAGAGGAUGAUCCGCCACACUGGGACUGAGACACGGCCCAGACUCCUACGGGAGGCAGCAGUGGGGAAUUUUGGACAAUGGGCGCAAGCCUGAUCCAGCCAUGCCGCGUGUCUGAAGAAGGCCUUCGGGUUGUAAAGGACUUUUGUUAGGGAAGAAAAAGGAGCGGUUAAUACCCGUUUCUGCUGA